rnacentral:rRNA from 1 species
UAGUCCACGCUGUAAACGAUGUCUACUAGCCGUUGGUCUCCUUGAGGGGGCAGUGGCGCAGCUAACGCGAUAAGUAGACCGCCUGGGGAGUACGGCCGCAAGGUUAAAACUCAAAUGAAUUGACGGGGGCCCGCACAAGCGGUGGAGCAUGUGGUUUAAUUCGAUGCAACGCGAAGAACCUUACCAGGUCUUGACAUCCCGAGAAGUCGCUAGAGAUAGCUUCGUGCCUUCGGGAACUCGGUGACAGGUGCUGCAUGGCCGUCGUCAGCUCGUGUCGUGAGAUGUUGGGUUAAGUCCCGUAACGAGCGCAACCCCUAUCUUUAGUUGCCAGCAAGUAAUGUUGGGGACUCUAAAGAGACUGCCGGCGUAAGCCGCGAGGAAGGUGGGGAUGACGUCAAAUCAUCAUGGGCCUUUAUGCCUAGGGGCUACACACGUGCUACAAUGGCAGGUACAGAGGGUUGCGAACUCGCGAGGGUAAGCC